GCUCUGGUGGCUCAAUCGGAGCCAAUAUAGAGUGUUGGACUUUUAAUCCAAAGGUUGCGGGUUGAAGUCCCGCCCAGAGUA